UCUUCCCUUUUGAAAUGUGAUUUAAUGGAAGAGAGUGUUAUAAGGGCCACUCAAUCUGAGGCUGCUUAUUUGUCUCUGUUAAACAGACAGUAAAAAAGGAUCCAGUGAAUCGGUUGCCUGCUGUCCCGUGUCUGUCUUUGCAUCACACAACGUAACACAACGCAGACCAAGUUUUAAUACCCGGUGUCGCUGGCCGCACAUCACGCCGGGCAUAAGCGAGCCACACGGGUUACAUUUAGACAUCACAAAGUUGUACAGUCUCUCAUGCUGCAGUAUGGAAAAGACUGUUACAUCUUUCCUUAUGAGCUUAUUUUCUUCCUUCUCGAAGAUUACCUUAGCUCCGCCUGUUGUAGCAGCUUGUACAGAGACUAUGCACUGUGGGUACAA